rnacentral:lncRNA from 1 species
GCAGUUUGUUGCCAUUUCCAAGGACUCGGGCUGACUGGAUACAGGUGCUGAGGCAAGACACAGGGAGGAUACGUGAUAUUUGGAGGCAACACAUGUGGAGGACACAUGAUAUUUGGAGGGGAUAAACAGGACUCCACAGAAUGACAAAGGCUGAGCUAGGCUUGCUUUUAGAGCUAGCUGUGCAACGCUUGUGGAUCUCUCAUCUUCGCUGAUCUUCACUUCCCUGAGAGAGGCACAGCUGAGUAUUUCUGGAGUUCCUGCCGACUUGAGCCAAGGUUGAAGCCUGGCUGUCUCUCCUAGGUUGUGCCACCGCAGUUGCUAUCCCGACUCUACCAAACUGGACUGCUGGUGUAUCCGUGAAGUGUUUGAGAGUGGAUGGAGCUGCUGCUGCUGCCUGCUAACCUGUGAACUGAACUGCUGAUUUCCAGACAACUGCUGAUUUUCCAGAUAAGGGAAUGAGAAUAAGCCUGGAGCUCCUUGCAAGCAGGCAGAGUUGCUCUGAUGAAGCUGGCAGCUGCGUUUGCUCAGGGGUCUGAGCCCUACAACAAUCUCCAAUUGUUUGACCUACAUGUCUAUCUGUGCACCGCCCGCACUGAGUGCCGACACCGACAGAAGCCAGCAGAGGAUGUCCGUUACCCUGGACUGGAGUUACAGUUGUGAGCUGCCAUGUAGGUGCUAGAAAUGGAACCCUAAGUCCUCUGCAAGAGCAGUCACUGCUUUCUACUGAGCCAAUUCUCCAGCUCCCUAUUCAUCAAACGUUUACCAAGCACCUAGUCCUUAUGUAUUGGACACAGAGUCAGUUUUGGGGGAGAGUGCUGUGACCUCUUCCCUUGGGGAGCUCCAACCUAUAAGGAAAUACUAUUAUUGUAUUUCCCUAUUAUUUUAUUGUUUUUUAAAAUGUGCAUGUAUCUGUAUAUUCCACAUAUGUGCGGGUGCAGGUGUGUAUGUUUCUGUGUGUACAUGUCACAUGUGUGCAGGUGCCCGUGAAGUUCAGAACAGGGCAUUAGAUCUCUAGAGCUGAAUACGGCAGCUGUGAGCCACCCGAUGUGGGUGCGAGGAACAGAGCUCUGAUGUAAUGCAAGAACCAUAAGCGCUUCCCGCUGAUCACUAUCUCCAGCUUUGUUGUGUUUAUUGUACAGAAAAGAGGUGCAGUGUUGAAAGGUCUUUGAAAGCUAUGGAGUGCUGUGAAAUAUAAUAA